rnacentral:misc_RNA from 1 species
UCCGCUUUACAGCGGCAGUUUGUCUCGAGUCCCCGCCAUGGUAAAACCACGCGCUGGUAACAAGACAUGAGGGUUGCGCUCGUUGCGGGACUUAACCCAACAUUUCACAACACGAGCUGACGACAGCCAUGCACCACCUGUGUAGCACCCUCGAAGGCGGCUCGCUUUCACGAGCUUGCAGCUACAUGUCAAGCCCUGGUAAGGUUCUUCGCGUUGCAUCGAAUUAAGCCACAUGCUCCACCGCUUGUGCGGGCCCCCGCCAAUUCCUUUGAGUUUCAACCUUGCGGCCGUAGUCCCCAGGCGGCUCACUUAAUGCGUUAGCUGCGGCACCGAGGUAUAAACCCCGACACCUAGUGAGCAUCGUUUAAGGCCAAGACUAC